rnacentral:rRNA from 1 species
GAUGAACGCUGGCGGCGUGCUUAACACAUGCAAGUCGAACGAUGAAGCCCAGCUUUCUGGGUGGAUUAGUGGCGAACGGGUGAGUAACACGUGAGUAAACUGCCCUCAACUCUGGGAUAAGCCUGGGAAACUGGGACUAAUACCGGAUAGGAGCGUCCACCGCAUGGGGGGUGUUGGAAAGAUUUAUCGGUUUUGGAUGGACUCGCGGCCGAUCAGCUUGUUGGUGAGGUAAUGGGUCACCAAGGCGACGACGGGUAGCCGGCCUGAGAGGGUGACCGGCCACACUGGGACUGAGACACGGCCCAGACUCCUACGGGAGGCAGCAGUGGGGAAUAUUGCACAAUGGGCGCAAGCCUGAUGCAGCGACGCCGCGUGAGGGAUGACGGCCUUCGGGUUGUAAACCUCUUUCAGUAGGGAAGAAGCGAAAGUGACGGUACCUGCAGAAGAAGCACCGGCUAACUACGUG